rnacentral:rRNA from 1 species
UCAGACGAUGCGUCAUGCAUAUCAAUAAGCGGAGGAAAAGAAACUAACAAGGGAUUCCCUAGUAACGGCGAGUGGAGCGGGAAGAGCUCAAAUUUGAAAUCUUAAAGGGUUUCCCUUUACGAAUUGUAGUUUAAAGAAGUGUUUUCUGUUGAGGUUUUGGUAAAAGUUCUUUGGAAUAGGACAUCAUAGAGGGUGAGAAUCCCGUAUUUGACCUUUACUUUCAACUUUGUGAUACACUUUCAAAGAGUCGGAUUGUUUGGGAAUGCAGUCCAAAAUGGGUGGUAAAUUUCAUCUAAAGCUAAAUAUUGGCGAGAGACCGAUAGCGAACAAGUACCGUGAGGGAAAGAUGAAAAGAACUUUGAAAAGAGAGUUAAACAGUACGUGAAAUUGUCAAAAGGGAAGCGUUUGACACCAGUGUUGUUUUUCUGAAAAUCAAUUAAAGAACUGUUUAUGCUAAGUUGUUUAGACUUUAUCAGCUAACUGUUUAGUUUUGAGCUUUUCUUUAAUGCACUUUUCAGUUAACAAGUCAACAUCAAUUUCUUUUGCUGUAAAAAAGCUUGAGGAAGGUGGCUUGAGAUUCGUCUUAAGUGUUUAUAGCCUCUUGCCUAUGCAGUCGGAGAGAUUGAGGUCUGCAGCGUAGAUCCUUCGGGGCUAAAUGCAUUUGUGCUAAGUUAUAGCAUUUUAUAGACAACUUGUUGACUAUGAUUUGUCUUGUAGCUUACUCGCUUAUGUUAUUUUACCUACGCUUAGGAUGUUGAGCGCAUGUCUCUCUCU